rnacentral:rRNA from 1 species
AUUGAACGCUGGCGGCAGGCCUAACACAUGCAAGUCGAGCGAGCGGCGGACGGGUGAGUAAUGUAUGGGGACUGCCCGAUAGAGGGGGAUAACUACUGGAAACGGUAGCUAAUACCGCAUAUUAUCGGAUAACCCAUAUGGGAUUAGAUAGUAGGUGAGGUCAUGGGUCACCUAGGCGACGAUCCCUAGCUGGUCUGAGAGGCUGAUCAGCCAAACUGGGACUGAGACACGGCCCAGAAGCCAACGGAGGCAGCAGUGGGGAAUAUUGCACAAUGGGCGCAAGCCUGAUGCAGCCAUGCCGGGUGUAUGAAGAAGGCCCUAGGGUGGGAAAGUACUUUCAGUCGGGAGGCGUUACCGACAGAAGAAGCACCGGCUAACUCCGUGCCAGCAGCCGCGGUAAUUC